GCCAAGCGGUGCUGAUUAGGGGUUGUUUUUACUCUCCCUUGCAAUUAUUUUGUACUUGUAGGGGUGCAUGUAGGCACGGUCCUUGUGAUGCGGUACGUGAUGGUGUGUGAGUGGUAUUUGGUUUGUGUGGUUGGCGGGCUCUUUGCUUGUGCAUUGGACCGUUCACCAACAUACCUUUUCAUUGUAUGCUGCAAGUGCACCAUUUUGCCUUGGGCGACGUGUGGUCCCUAUGUUGGAUUCCGAUUAACGGUAUUGUUGUUGUCCCUUUAAAGAGUGAUAUUCGCUCUACGUCCGUAAAAGGAGGUCGAGCGGACCAUGAAACUUGACUCGUUAUCCUCCUGUUUUGUGAAAACAAGCAUGAUAGGGUUGGAUUAUGAUCUCAAGUUGGGCCCUAGGAUACAGAAAGUUGUGUGGGAGUUGAUGUAAAAACGUCGCAAACCCAAAGCGUUGGUACGCUAAUGAUGGAUGACAUUCGAGUGUGUUGUGAUUCUUUCAUUCUAGAAAGGUUCAUGCUCGCCGAUGUCGACCAAGGAGUGCUACCUGGUUGAUCCUGCCAGUAGUCAUAUGCUUGUCUCAAAGAUUAAGCCAUGCA
rnacentral:misc_RNA from 1 species